UAUUGCCUCUGCGGGUUCAUUCGUUUUGAUCCUACAUUUUUUUAUACAGGGAGUCUGACUUCAGAAUAACAAAGUAUACCUAGUGUUUUGGCAUUUUAGGAAACGGCGAUUUAUUCGAGAGGACACCCACCUGCUGACUUAGCAGGUAUCAAAACCUUAGCCUGUAGGGGCACAAC
rnacentral:other from 1 species